rnacentral:rRNA from 1 species
GUGCCAGCAGCCGCGGUAAUUCCAGCUCCAAUAGCGUAUAUUAAAGUUGUUGCAGUUAAAAAGCUCGUAGUUGGAUCUCGGGUCCGGGCUCGCGGUCCACCUCGCGGUGGUUACUGCCCGUCCCGACCUACCUACCGGUUUUCCCUUGGUGCUCUUAACUGAGUGUCUCGGGUGGCCGGAACGUUUACUUUGAAAAAAUUAGAGUGUUCAAAGCAGGCGCUUCGCCUGAAUAAUGUUGCAUGGAAUAAUGGAAUAGGACCUCGGUUCUAUUUUGUUGGUUUUCGGAACUUGAGGUAAUGAUUAAGAGGGACAGACGGGGGCAUUCGUAUGAUGGUGUUAGAGGUGAAAUUCUUGGAUCGCCGUC